UCAAACCAAAUUACAUAAAUUCCAAAUUACACAGCCGAAUUUUAAAUUUUUGUUGGGGGUACCCAUAUUUCAAGUUCCGAAGGGAUCCAAUCAACUUCUUGCUUCUUACUGCUGUUUUAAUGUCCACAAAUCUAACCUUAUGAUGUUCACAGUACUAUCCAGUCCUUUCUUAUUAUUUUUCCACACCUCUUGUUGUUAUUUUCAUAUAUUUUUCCUUUCUCUUUGUGACCUCUGAUAGUCUCCACAAGCUGGUUAGAACAGUUUGUAAUCCUGCGUGGAUAUUUUUUUUAUUAUUAUCCAGUAGCCAUAUCCAGACGUUUUCCAUAUAACAUCACUUCCAUACAUCAAAACAGUCUUAGCGUCAUUAAUCUUCACCAAUCUGCCUCCUUUCUCAAAACCUCUGAGGAGAUUCACUAGGAAUGCAGUCUGAAAACAAAUCUGUUCUUCCUCCCGGCUAUAAAUCCUUUGGCAAGAUGGCGACUCCGAAUUAAUUGCUGCACCAUUCCCAAAAGCUCUUAUUACUUCUCGGUCUCCAUAAAGCAUACUUUUGGUUAAAGUUUAUCUCCACACAGACCUUAAUCAUCCUGCUUGGGUCAGUUCAACUGGUGGUUCUACUGAGGAGGGGUUCUUGUAAAUCACAUAGAAGGAAAGUAAAGGUUUCCCCCCCCCAUUCAGCCCCGUUGUCAACAUACCCCGCCUUUGGUGUAUCUUCAUCAUAAAAUAUUCCUGUUUCUCCAGCCCAUUGUCUUCUUUCACAGAGGUCACUUAAAUUAGCAGACUUCACUCCCCUUCUUCACUUGAAAUAUGUGCAUUUGCUUCUUUUGUAAUUAAUUAUUCCAAAUUGCUGCAACUAGUGCGCGAUCAGAGACAGUGUCCAGGAGAGCCGAUGUCCACACGGGGGCAUUCUGCCUAGGGCCCUCACCCCCUUCUUUCGAAUUAGGGGGUGAUUUAUGGGCACAGCAGGCAAGGGCAGUGUUCCCCAUUUCCUUGGGGCAACAAGGGAGGCUGCCUACUCCCAUAUCAGCCUCUUAAUUACCCCGUGUGGGUCGGAGAGAUGGUAUUGUCGGCCAUCAUCCAAUGCGCCCCCUAGUGGCCCCCGUGAAUGGCAUUCUCAGCCAGUUAUUCCAACAGCUGUCCCCCUGCCCCCCAAAAAAGAAGAAGCUUUCUUUCCAGUAGAAGUGUCUCUUGACGUUUGGAUGAAGAGGUUUUCAUAACAAUGCAGUCUCUAAUCAUUUCCUCAGCUAUGUUGCCAAAAUCACAAGUCACACAUAAUGCAAUGACAUAGCAAUCUAUUGGCUCUCUUGGUAGUUGAAGCCUUAAAUAAAAUGUGUCGCUUUCAGCAAUCACACUCACAGGAAGGUUUUGAAAGGCCUCUUUGCUUGUGGAAGCUCCAAAAUGUGAACCACCCCAAACUUCUCUGUUCCUACUUUGGCCUGCCCUCCUUCUGAAGAAAGAUGCCUCUUUUGCCCUUCUGCAGGAACACCAUGGAGGAGCCUGUGCAUGGGAUUUAUUCCCUUCUCUCAGCAUUCUGACUGGGUUUAGGGCAGUAGUUCUGAGCAGGAACGCAUUCAAUAAAAAUUUGAUGUGGCACUAUAGCUCAGCAGAAUCAUCUUUUUAAGGAUUCCACCUCUGGAGUAUAUUCCAUUUUUAGUGCAUUCUUUUUGGCACUGCAAAUGAACUCUUAGCUUGUUAACCAGUUUAUGGGGAAGAGGAAGAGGAAGAAGGAGAAGAUUGUCUCAUCCUAGUAUUUCCCUGAGCAAUAUUUAGGUUGCUCUCUAUGUGUCGGGGACUCUGGGACUUGCUAUGGGGAGCUCUGGAUCUGGCACUGAGAACUGUCUUGGCGAGUCACCGAAUCCAGUGGGUCGAAUCCAACUAAGCCAUGCUCCAAGUGGAUCCAUUGAAAUUAAUGGCCCAAAGUUAGUUAUGUAAAUUCGUUCCUAUGUAUCUACUCUAACAUCUGUAGAGCCCUCUUCAGGCAGGAAGGAGAACAGCUGUCAGCAGCACUGGUCCCUCUGAUGGACAGGAGGAGGAACCAUCUGAACUGGUGGGGCUUGGGAUAAAGACGAGGAGAUCUGGGCUUCUCCUUUCACCUUCUGGCAUGAACCUUCUGUCUGCAGCAAUUACUACUAUGCAACCUUAGCAUGCUCCAGAGCCAGACUUAGUGCAGCCGGCCCGAGUCUUUUCCUUCACAUCAUCAGUGCUUCUCCCAUCUCCUUCCAUUUGUGAAGUGCCAUGUAGAAGUCGCAAGUUUGGCUCUGAAUGAUACUAACGAGAGGAAGCCACCCCUGAGCCAAUGGACAGGCCAGACAAGAAGCCAACUGUCCCCGGAACAGUUCCUGUGAAGCCUGUUGAGAAGAAGAAAUAAAUUUGCCACAUUUAGUGCGGCUGUAAUAAAUUUUGAUUCUUUGUCCUCUGAGGUUCACAUUGGUUUGGCAUGCAAAACGAAGCCAUUUGGGGGCACAAGGAUGUGGAGGAUUGAGAAAUGGGCCAAGAAACAACAACCACAAGGCUUACUACAGCUUGUAGGGUGAUGGAAGGUCUUUCUCCAUGAUGUCCACCACCCUCAGGGCAUCAAUGUAUCUUUAGCAUCCUUCUCAUGGUGGACAUGAUGGGACUGUGCGGAUUUUCCCUGUGUGUGCCCUGAAAUCCAGAUUAGCGGGAAUUGUAGUGGAGUUGGAGAAUAUCACCAUGAAGGUUUGACUUUGCUGCAGUUUGCUUGCAAGGGUUGGGUGGAGAGACAUUCUCAGAGUAGCUCCUAGACUGCAGGGUAUGGAUGUGUGAAAACCAGGUUGAGGAAAACUCCUUGGGUGGCCAAGGGCAAGUAGUUGCCACAUCUGAUCCUGCCUCUCUAGUUGAGAGACGAGAAGUCCACUCUUGGAAAAGCAGGAUUCAGUUGUUACUGAUAAGUAAGAUGAAGUGAAAACUGAUGGUUUGUUUCCUAUCUAUCUAUCUAUCUAUCUAUCUAUCUAUCUGUCUCACACUUCCAGUGAGCUGAAGGUGGUGUCUCCACUUAUCUUCACAACAACCCAACAAUGUCAUAACAAUGGCUUGACUUUGCUACAGUUGGUUUGCAAGAGAUUUGUAGCUAAGUCUCUGUAGUCAUUAGGGUCUGGUGGAGGGACAGAGAACCCUCCAGCUAUUGCUGAACUACAACUCCCAUCAGCCCCAGCAAGGAUAGCCAAAGGCCAGGGAUAAUGAGACUUGUAGUUCAGCCACAUCUGGACAGCCAGAGGUUCCUCACACCUGGUCAAGUGGAAGCUUUGAGUUUGCAUUUGGUCUUUUGGUCAAAGUGGGAAAAUAAUCAGCAGUUGCAUUUAAAAGGAUGCGUUUUUUCACCUAUUGCUUUUGGUACAGUUCUAAUGCUAAAAGCAUCUAAUUUGCAUUACUGCUGAGGCUUGUGGGAAAUUCACCAUAAGCUAAAAUGAGAAAGAAAGUGGAGCUUAAAGGGAGGGAUAACAGGCUGCACAUAAGUCUUGCAGACUGGGGCAUUCAGUUUGACAAGUUCAGAGGUUGCACAGCUGCUUGUCACCAAGGCUUCAGUGCUGCCUUAGGCUUCCCCACAGAUCUUCACAGUCCUUCCUUGGAGGUAUUUGCACUGCUUUGACCAAAUUGUAAUUGGUGUCACGAUCAAGGCAAAAGAAUAAAGUUUUGAAGGACAGUUGAAAACAAUAAAGUCCAGCCAAUGCUGUGAGUCACUUUAGAUCUCUCAAAAAUAGACGGUCUUUUCACCCCCUUGGUGCUCUCUAAUGGCUGCUGAAAUUGCUAACCCAAUUUGGAACUGAGCAGAGGGGGCUUUCUCCCACAACUAACAUCCGGUUUACUGGCCUGUGGUUUCCUAGUUCCACACUGGAUCCCUAUAAAAAUGAGGAUGCUGCUUCUGUCCUGCCGGCUUCCGACGUGGAAACUGUUGUACAGUUAAGCCAGCAAGUUCCUCUUGCCCUGUGCUCAGUUAAGCUUGGCCCUUCCCUGCAGCAUCACCUGGGAGAUCACAAAUCUCAAUCCCUGGGAUACUAAAUAAGUAGAAGGACAGUCCGGCUCUUCCAUGUCUGUUUUUGCAGUCAACGUCCUCACUGUGCAUGACCUGAGCUUCUGACAAGAUGGAAUGAGGUUUGGAAACAAACUGGGACAUGCUUGCCGCACCCUAGCUGGGUGGCAUAGAGGAGAAUCGACCCGUCCCCCCUCCCCAAUAGACCACAGAGAGUUCAGAAGACAGUCUUCUGCCUUCUUCAGACCUGUGUAGCUUGUUUGUUUCACAUCAAGAAUGAUGAGGCCUGCACCUUGGUCCUCUCAGAGACAUUAUCCGGCAGCUUCCUCUUAUUCAUCACGGCAAAUGGCCCAGACUGACUGGAGAAGUGCUUCUGUGGGAAAAGGAACAACGUUCCCCUCCUCCUUUCCCGUGGACCUGCUAUACUCAAGUGCUUGGCGAGGGGGGGCGGGCUGGAGGCUCUGUCUGCAGACAGAUUUCCUUGCUGCCACUAGACCUUUCCUUCAGGGGGCUCUUCCUUAGCUGAAGAGGAACAUGGCCGUUUCCUGUGUGAUUUGGGUCAGCUUGAAGUGGACCCCAGCUGGCAAUCCACUCGAGCUCUUUUCAGAGCAAGGCAGAGACUUAUCAAGAACGGGAACAGGAUCUAAUCACUCGCUCCAGAAUGAGCUCGGUGUGGCAGCUCCCAUGCAACCAUUUGUUUCUGGAAGGACUAGGUCCCUCCUGAAUAGGUUGAUUGCCUGCUCAUUUAAACAUUUAUUAUGUUGUGCUAGCAAAGGGGGGGGCACUCAUGUGGUUGUAAGCAGAGCCUCUGUAGUCUGCCUGCGAAGCCACCACCAACCCAAAGAUUGCCACACUGUUCACAGCCAGAGAUGGGUGGGGUGAGGUGGCGGUAUUUUAGCAACUUGGGGAGCAAGGUGAUAAGAGGAAUGAAGGAGUAACAGCACCAGUCAGAAGGUCUGGUGCCUUUUGAUUUACCCUGCAAGAAUGAUUGCUUUGUGGAGCUGCCAUGCGGGGAUGAGGCAAAGCCAGUUCGGAGAAAGGGCAGAGAUUUUGUGCCCUCACUCUGUAACCUUGUGUGCAAAAAAAAAGUUGCCUCUCAGCAACUGGAACUUCUAGGGGCCCGGUUGUCAUUUGUGACCAUGACAUUUUUUGUUGUUGUUGUUUAGUCGUUUAGUCGUGUCCGACUCUUCGUGACCCCAUGGACCAGAGCACGCCAGGCACUCCUGUCUUCCACUGCCUUCCGCAGCUUGGUCAAACUCAUGCUGGUAGCUUCGAGAACACUGUCCAACCAUCUCGUCCUCUGUCGUCCCCUUCUCCUUGUGCCCUCCAUCUUUCCCAACAUCAGGGUCUUUUCCAGGGAGUCUUCUCUUCUCAUGAGGUGGCCAAAGUAUUGAAGCCUCAGCUUCAGGAUCUGUCCUUCCAGUGAGCACUCAGGGCUGAUUUCCUUAAGAAUGGAUACAUUUGAUCUUCUUGCAGUCCAUAGGACUCUCAAGAGUCUCCUCCAUCACCAUGAUACUUCCAUGAAAUAGGUAGUGGC
rnacentral:lncRNA from 1 species